GACGAAAAGCGAAAAAUCACGGACCCCUUUUUACGCCCAGUUUUGCCGGUAAUGUCAUCUCGCUGCAUUACCCGUGUCUAUCCCCUUAAGUACAGACAAUUUAUCGGUGGAGGAGGAACGUGUCCACAACACAAUACAUCCUACACAAGUGAAGGAUGAUUCCAAUGUAGAUGAAACGCCGAUACAAUUUACUACUCCGAAGAAUAUUUAGACGCAAACUUGGUGGACGACGAGAAGGUGGAAACACCAGCAGACUCGCAACCUGGCCCUUCAACGAUAGUGGAGAGACCAACGAUUAAGAUAGAAAAAGUGAGACAGAAACACCCUCUACGUCAAGCCACUAAAUUACAAAAACAAACUGGCAUGAAAUCACGAUCUUCAGUGCUUCUGGCACGAAUAGCCGAGGAAGACAAAGAAAAUAGGAAGGAGUAUUACAAUAAAAAAUUGGCAUUGUUGGAGAGGGAUGUAGUAGCUAAAGAAAGAAUUGCGACAGCCUUAGAAACUUUAGCUACUACACACUACGGAUAAAUCAUAUGAAAGUUCUAUCUUUCGAAAAUUUGCAUAGUACAAUAAAUUUCAAUUUUGAAUUAGAAGGUAAUUAUUUAA